ACCUAGGGUUGGCCGAGAAAGGAGAAGAAAUACGGUGUCUGCGCUAGCGCGUGCGCCCCGGGGAGUUGGAGUCAGUUGGCAGUGCCCAGACUGCGGGCUGCGCUUGGUCGGGCACCCCAGGCAAAAAAGAAAAAAAAAAAAGAGAAAGAAAGAGGAGGAGACAGUGAUUGCAGCCUCUCCCGGCGCAGGUGGCAGAGCCUUGCGGCUUUGGAGAGAGGUGGAGCCUUGGUGAGGUUGGGAGGACUGCCUAACUGCGAUCUUUUUCUCCAUUCUUCCUCCUGGGAACUUCUCCGCCCUGAAAGGGUAGCGUGAGCUUCAUGCCUUCGGCCGGCCGUGUUAUACUCGUUAGACCCAAUUCACCAUGAAUCCUUUGAAAGACUAGUGGAGAGUGAGAAGGGGGUUUCAAAGUCACUGGAGUAAAGGAAUUCUCCAAGCACCACCUCAUGAUUAAUUCUUGGAAAAGCCUGUUUGCGCGGCCCUUAGAAUCAUUUUGACUUCUUGUCUAAUGGUGAAGUUUUUCUCUGUAAUCCUUCUACUCUGUUUUCUAAAACCAGAACUAAAAACCUAAAAAAUUGUAAAACUUCAUGGUGUAAUUAAAACCCCUUCACCAUUU
rnacentral:lncRNA from 1 species